rnacentral:rRNA from 1 species
UACGUAGGGGGCUAGCGUUGUUCGGAUUCAUUGGGCGUAAAGGGUGUGUAGGUGGCGCGCUAAGUCGGGUGUGAAAUUUCGGAGCUUAACUCCGAAACUGCAUUCGAUACUGGCGUGCUUGAGGACUGGAGAGGAGACUGGAAUUCAUGGUGUAGCAGUGAAAUGCGUAGAGAUCAUGAGGAAGACCAGUGGCGAAGGCGGGUCUCUGGACAGUUCCUGACACUGAGACACGAAGGCCAGGGGAGCAAACGGG